rnacentral:rRNA from 1 species
GGGGAAUAUUGCGCAAUGGGGGAAACCCUGACGCAGCAAUACCGCGUGAGUGAAGAAGGUUUUCGGAUCGUAAAGCUCUGUUAUUGGGGAAGAAAAAAAGACGGUACCCAAGAAGAAAGUCCCGGCUAACUACGUGCCAGCAGCCGCGGUAAUACGUAGGGGACAAGCGUUGUCCGGAUUUACUGGGCGUAAAGGGCACGCAGGCGGUUUUUUAAGUCAGAUGUGAAAGGUACCGGCUCAACUUCGGGCGUGCAUUUGAAACUGGGGGACUAGAGUGCAGGAGAGGUAAGUGGAAUUCCUAGUGUAGCGGUGAAAUGCGUAGAUAUUAGGAGGAACACCAGUGGCGAAGGCGACUUACUGGACUGUAACUGACGCUGAGGCGCGAAAGCGUGGGGAGCAAACA